ACACACACACAUACACACACACACACGACGGGAAUUAAUUGUAAACAUAUUUGUAGUUUUAAAGUAAAACAGCAAUUUUGAUGGAUGCUCUCCAUUUUGAAUGGUUAAGGUGGAUAAAUCUGAGAGUAAAUUCACGAUGGUUUUCCUGUGUUUAUUCAUCUUUUCAUGGACGAUGACAUCUGUGACUCUGGAAAAAGUUAAAGUGGGAACAUGAUAUUUCAGCUUACUGAAAUACAUAGUUAAAAUAUUGUAUUUCUUUCUUUUUUUCAUGGAUAACUUUUUGUGUAUAGCUGUUAAACUGACAACUUGAUCAGAAAUCGUGCUGACUGUUGAUGCUGUAGUGCUGUGUGUGCUCCAGGCACUGACCUGAACCUUUACACUGUUCAGUUAUUUUUUAUUAGUUUCAUUAUGUCCUGGAUUUAUCAGCAUUAUGUUCAUUCUCAUUCAUCAGGUUUUGCUUCCUAAAUGCUUGUGCAGCUUGUGUGCUUAUCGACCAGGAGGUUUUGCAAUUUCCCAAAAUAUAAGUCAUGUCAGACUUGACCUUGGGAAAGACAUCACCAGCAUGUUACCAUCUUGCCUACUAAUGGUGAUCAGGGGGACCUAGAACAGAGCUGAUUUAAGAUCUAGGUAAACUUGUUCAAUUUGGGGUUAAAAACAAACAUUUUCACAUAUUUUCCAUGUAGUUUUUUUGCCAGUUCCUCUUCUGAAAGGUAGACAAUUGUUUUUCUCUUUCCCUCAGAAAAUCUUAAUAUUCUCCUAGUUUGGCCCAGCACAGUUCACUUCCCAAUAGCAGCAACAGCCUUAUAUCAUAACCACAUAAGUGGAGAAAAUAUUCAGUAGCAAUGAGAGAAUUUGCUGUUGCAUUUAAGUGAUGUUAACUAUUAUUUAACAUUUAAACUUAUUUUCAGAUUUUUUUUUAUUUAUUCAGAAAACCCUGGUAAGGGAUGUUUUUCUGUAUUUGGAGCAUCAGAAAAAGUUUUAUGGUGGUGGUGACGUUUUAAAGUCACUGAGAAACUGCAUGCAUGCAGUUUGUUGUUUUGCUGCUAAUACAGUAGCAGGUGCAGCUGCAUAUUUUUGCAAUAAAAAUGUUAUGUUGUAAUGGAAUUCGUGCAUUAGUUAUGUUUGCUUUGAACCCAGAGCAGACGUCACACGCCAGACGACAUCAACACUGCAUACUUUAGUAUUUGUUCAUUUAUCGUGAGUAAUAUCGAUAUCGCAAUAUUAAGCACUGUUAUCGAAUAUCGCAGGUUUUCCUAAUAUCGUGCAGCCCUAACACGUUGUUUUACAAGUAUUAUUCUCAUGUCAUGUUGUGUUCUCACAUAUUUAUAUUUUAGAGACUUUUUUGUGACAAGUUCAUCAACUCUGCAUCAGCCGAGGUAUUCCUUAGAUUUGAAGCACGUAAGCGGUAGUCUAACGCCAUUGGUUAGUUCUGGUUGGUGCUCAGUUUCUAUUGCACGGAGCUUUACGGGGCAGGGGGCGUGCUUAGCCAAAAAAAAGGCGUAUUGUUUACAUUUUAUCACAUUACAUGAUAAGAUAAUCACUUUUAUGGAUUUCUGAAAAAUCAUACAUAAUUUCUGAAAGGGUAAAACUCCGGAAAGCAGCUUUAAGAAGACUAGAAGUACAUUUUCGCACUUUAGCAGUAAUUUGUAAUAGCAUUGUCAGUAAAUCACCAAGUAUGGAGGAUUGAUCCAGCCCAAAAUACAUAAAUAAAUGAAAGCAAUUGAUAUGCCAAAUUAUGCAUGAAACUGGAUUGUAGGAUUCGGAUGGUGAGUCAAAAAACAUCCUCAGUAAAAUAUGCCGGGUGAUAGUAAAGUCGUAUCUGCGCGCUGCUCAUUAAUGCUAAAUCCUUUAAAUGCUGUUUGUUUUUUAACAUGAUGAACACACAAUUGUUUAAUUAUCUACUGGCAUUAUUUAUGUAUUAAUUGCUUUAUCAAAUCAUUUCUCUAUUCUGCACCUAUUUUUAUUUUGGCAGGAUCAGCCCUCCAUAAAAAAGUUUUGUUUUGGAUAACCAACAAUUAAUAAAAACAUUAACAGUUAAGCAGAUGUUAAUGCAUAGAUGAAGAAAUUUAAAAGCAUUAUUAAUUUAAUUUCAGUCACUAAUUGAGUAUUCUCUCACAUUGUUAAUGUACACCCAGCUAAAAGGGCCCAUUGUUGUUGUUGUUUUUUUUUUUUUUUACAGAUUCAAAGAAUGGAUUAUUAUGGUAGUUCGCGGACCAAAAGAAGACGAAUUAAAGCAAAUGUGGCUAAGCAUUUAAAGUUCUUGGAAGACUUCAAGGCCCAAACAAUCUCAUUCACUCAUUUUGGAUUGCGCUUCAGAAAUGGACAACCAGAUUCCUAGAGAGGAUUUGAGCUGUGAGGCUAUUCUGAGUGAAAAUGGAAAAGAAUCAGACACGGAAUUUGAAGAAGAUAAAGAACAAUCAGUUGCUGAAACAAAAUGUAAUGGCACUGAGUUAGAUUUGGACAGCACCUUUGAGGAAACUGAUUCAAGAUGUGAACUUAAAAGGAAUUUGGCCAAUUGGGCAGUGAAUCGAAAUAUUUCCCACAGUGCGCUGACAGAACUACUACAUAUUUUAGCUCACUGUGGUCUGGAUUUACCCAAGGAUUCAAGAAGUCUUUUGUCAACCCCCAAAACAUUUCAAGUGAAAGAAAUGGGAAAUGGUAUUUACUAUCAUUUUGGAGUGGCUAAUGCAAUUACAUCACAGCUGUUAAAUGACUCCCAUAUUUCAGUUGAUACUUUAACUCUUCGGGUGAACAUUGAUGGGUUACCACUCUUCAGAAGCUCUAAAAUGGAAUUGUGGCCUAUUUUGGCCAUUGUUAAAGAAAUUCCAAAAUGUGGUGUCAUCAUCAUUGGGCUGUACGCAGGCUCGUCCAAGCCCGCAUCUGUUCAAGAAUACUUAAAUGACUUUAUUGAAGACUUGAAGUCAGUAACCAAAGAGGGUUUUCUUUACAAAGGAAAACACUUUAAUAUCGCACUUCCAGAUGCCUUUGUUUGUGAUGCACCUGCUCGGGCCUUUUUGAAAUGUGUCAAAGGCCAUUCUGGUUACAGCUCCUGUGAACGCUGUGCAGAGCAUGGAAUUUAUUUGGAUAAAAAGGUUGUGUUUCCUGAUUGUAAAGCACCUCUACGAACAGAUGAAGCAUUUGAACAUUUGACAGAUGAGGACCAUCAUCAUGGAGUUUCACCCUUGCAAGAUCUUGGCAUUGGGAUGGUGUCAAGCUUUGUACUUGACUAUAUGCAUUUAGUUUGUUUAGGACAUGUAAAAAAAGUUAUAAGUUUGUGGAUCAAAGGACCUCUAAAGUGUCGUCUAUCUGCAGUUACUAUUUCCAUCAUUUCUAAUCACAUGAAAUCAAUCAGAGAUCACUUUCCAAGAAACUUUUCCCGCAAACCGCGAUCACUGAUGGAGUACAGUCAGUGGAAGGCAACAGAAUUUAGGCAGUUUCUGUUGUACACAGGCCCAGUGGUUCUUCAAGGACGACUAUCCACACAAAUGUACAACAAUUUUUUGUUGCUCUCAGUAGCAAUUAGAAUCCUUCUCAGCCCAGCUUUGUGUUGUAAAUACUGUGACUAUGCUGACAGACUAUUGAAAUGUUAUGUUGCCAAUUUUGCUAAAGUAUAUGGAACAGAGCACUUAGUUUACAACACUCACUGCCUCGUGCAUUUAGCUGAUGAUGCCAGAAAGUAUGGUGCCUUGGACAACAUCUCAUGUUUUCCCUUCGAAAAUUAUCUGGGGACAUUAAAGCGACUUGUACGAAGACCCCAAAAUCCCCUACAACAAGUCAUUCGGCGUGUAGCUGAAAAGCGCGUUCCGGGUGAAAAUGAAAGGAAGAGCAAACCUCAACUACAACAUACAUGUGGUCCAACUCUCCCAGACUUUCCUGCUCGCAUGCAAUUCAGGCAGUACAAACAUGAGGGAAUUAUCAUUUCAUGUUCUGUAGGGAAUAACUGUUUUGAUGUUGAGGGCAAAGUUGCAGUAGUAAGGAAUAUAGUACAGUUGUUUUCAGGAGCCAUGUACAUUGUGUGUCAGUUUUAUGACAAACAAGACUGCUUCUGCAGAUACCCUACUGAUUUGUCGUGUCUUGGAAUCAGAACAGUGGCACAACUAUCCGAUCAUCUUUAUGGAGUACCUGUGACUAACCUGACAAAAAAACUUGUACUCCUGCCUUUGCGGGAUGGUCAUGUUGUCUUUCCCCAGUUACAUGAUCAAUGACAGGCUUCAUGUGACCUUUCAGCAUGUCCUUCAGCAUUGUGGAAUUCAUUGAAGAGUCGAAGGAAGGAAAGAAGUUGGUGGACAUUAUUCCAUCAUGUUGGUUCACAGAUGAAAACAAAGUCGAAUGCUUCUGGCCAUUGGGCCUUGGUAUAAACAUCACAAAGGCAGUGAAACAGCAACUGCAGCCAGAUGCGUCAUGGAAGACAUGCUGUGUGCGUGUACUUGGAAAUGCAGAAAACUACUGUGAUGCACGAAGAAAGCUUGCUAAGGCAGAAGCAGCAUCUGAUCUUCAAACAACUGAUAAUGAUAUCCCAGAAAAGCGACGUAAAAGGUCCUCCAAAAAAUGGAAUACCUUUUCAUCUAGUGAAGAAGAUGUGGAGUCUUCUGAGAAUGAAAUACCACCUUCUCCUCCACCUGAAUUUAUUGCAACUGGAUAUGCCCCAAGAGUGUUUAGCCCUUGUUCCCCCAGAUAUUCUCAUAGUUUAACAAGCCCCAGUGCAACGCCGACUCUGAGAAGCCUCAUUGCAGCGCCGAAUCUGAGAAGCCCCAGUGCAAUGCCGACUCUGAGAAGUUCCAGUGCAACGCCGACUCUGAGAAGUUCCAGUGCAACGCCGACUCUGAGAAGUUCCAGUGCAACGCCGACUCUGAGAAGCCCCAGUGCAACGCCGACUCUGAGAAGCCCCAGUGCAACCCCUGUUCCAAGACCUGGGACUUCAUUAAGCAUGAGUAGCACCAAUGGCUUGGAGGAGGUUUUGUUCACCAGACUGGUUACUCUUUUAGAGGACGUCAAAGAAACUCUAAAAAUACAUGGAAAGAUGUUGGAUACUCUACUGAAGCAAAAAUCUGCUGUAUCACUGGUGGAACCACCUGAGGGAGCUGUAUUUCCCAUGACUACAGUGGAUGAUGUCCUGGCAAUGAAUGAAAAGCUGAGUGACUCUGAAUUUAUGUCUGGAGUUAUCGCCAUGGUUGGAGAAAUUGGAGGCACAUCGUUGGAUGACGCAACAAGACGAAUGAUGGCAUUCUUGAUGUCCCAUGAAUUGGCUCUCCAGUUCAGUGUAUUUGGUCGCCAUGGAAAAAACAAGUUCCGUGACCUGCGCCUCUUCGAUGUUGUGUAUGGAGCACUUAAAAGAAAUGGAUGCAUCCAGGGAAUCACCCAGAAAGAUGCGGAGAAGGCCCUCUCGAAGUGGUUCACUGGAGCUCGUGACAGAGGUGGUAACAGAAAAGUUAGAUCAAAUAGGGAGGCUGCAAAUUCAAAUGCAGGUUGGCAGCUUUCUGAAGAUGGACAGCAUUUUUUGUAGUCAAGCCUUUUACACAUGCCUAGUUCAGCAGCUUUGAAUGUAGUAAGUUUGGGAGAUAAAAACCAUUUUGGUUUCAGAAACUCAUUUGUUAGACUUACAAUGUGACCAACAUGUAAGUGGAGUGUUUGUAGAUGCCCAAUAAAAGUUAUGCUUUGGACAUUUGAUUUAGUUUUGUGCUUUAAUGUAAAUGGAAAUUAUAUUUUCUAUUAAUUCCGUACUGUUGAAGAUGCAUUAAAUUGUUCUUCCUUCAAUAGACAUUUUAGUCUAGUUUGUUCACUGUAUAAUUUUACAUGUUUUCUUGAAACAAUUGCUUUUUGCUCAUCUGGAUUCAAAAGAAAUUACUGCCAAUUUUUAACAUUAGCCUGUAAACAGCCAUAGCAGUGUCUUAAAAGCCUUAACUGAAAAGACAGGUGUCAUUUAAAUAAGAUUUUGAAAUUCUGUUUGUCAAUUAAGAUUGCAUUUCCCUUAGUGUAAUUUUCCCAAGAAGCCGAAGCAGUAUCUCCUAGGAAACAGGCACAAGGGGCAGCAGAACACAAAGCACCACAGCCUUACCACUACGUCCCCUAGUGCAUGUUCACCCUGGAUAAUGGCCAUCCCAGCUAACGGGUACCCACAUCAGCCCCUGGCUGCAGAGCUACCAUCCACAAAGGAGGCGGGACACAUGAGGGGACAUGCACAAUGCUAUCCCAGUCAAGACAGCCUCCAGAGAGAACAAUGUUAGUGCACCCACUAGGAUACAGUCAUUACAUCCCAUGCCUGGCCUGUAGGGAUGCACGUUUUCCAAAAUUUCUUAACCAGCUAAUGAUGCCCUUAACGAUUAAUAGCUGGUUAACCGGACCCAGCCAACAACAACCCUCCCCCAGAUGAAACCCCAUUAGGACCCAGGCAGUGGAUACAUGGGUCUUGUGUUAGUAAACCAUCUGGGUUCCACUGAAAACCCAGUUGGGGCCCACUAGAAUCUAUGUGGGCAAACCCCUGUAGGUCCACCAUGGAAACCAUGGACAAACCCACAUGUUACCCAUAUUCCAGCCCACUUGAGACCUCAGUAAGGCCCAGUUAAGCAUCCCUCAAAGCACUUAGAUGGGGCACGCAUGGGUGUCCUGUAAUUCGACUAUCUGGGCUCCACUGAAAACCCAGUUGGGGCCCACUAUAAUCUAUGUGGGCAGACCCCUGUAGGUCCACCAUGGAAACCAUGGACAGACCCACAUGUUACCCAUAUUCCAGCCCACUUGAGACCUCAGUAAGGCCCAGUUAAGCAUCCCUCAAAGCACUUAGAUGGGGCACGCAUGGGUGUCCUGUAAUUCGACCAUCUGGGCUCCACUGAAAGCCCUUCCAGGGCCCGUCAUAAUCUAUGUGGGCAAACCCUUAUAGGUCCACCAUAAAAACCGUGGACAAGCCCAUUUGGGACCCAAGUAAUUUGCACAUUUAUAUAUCACGUGGGGCCCACCAAUGUAUG